rnacentral:rRNA from 1 species
UACGUAGGGUGCGAGCGUUGUCCGGAAUUAUUGGGCGUAAAGAGCUCGUAGGCGGUCUGUCGCGUCGAAUGUGAAAACCCGGGGCUCAACUCCGGGCUUGCAUUCGAUACGGGCAGGCUAGAGUUCGGUAGGGGAGUCUGGAAUUCCUGGUGUAGCGGUGAAAUGCGCAGAUAUCAGGAGGAACACCGGUGGCGAAGGCGGCGAUCUGGGUCGAUACUGACGCUGAGGUGCGAAAGCGUGGGGAGCAAACAGG